rnacentral:rRNA from 1 species
UACGUAGGCAGCAAGCGUUGUUCGGAGUUACUGGGCGUAAAGGGUGUGUAGGCGGUUCUUUAAGUUUGCUGUGAAAUCUCCCGGCUUAACCGGGAGGGUGCGGUGAAUACUGAGGGACUAGAGUACGGGAGAGGAAAGUGGAAUUCCUGGUGUAGCGGUGAAAUGCGCAGAUAUCAGGAGGAACACCAAUUGCGAAGGCAGCUCGCUGGGACGUAACUGACGCUGAGACGCGAAAGCGUGGGGAGCAAACAGG